rnacentral:rRNA from 1 species
GACGGGGGCCCGCACAAGCGGUGGAGUAUGUGGUUUAAUUCGAUGCAACGCGAAGAACCUUACCUGGUCUUGACAUCCCGGAGACCCUUAGGAAACUAGGGGGUGCUUCCAUCUGGAAGAAUCUGGAGACAGGUGCUGCAUGGCUGUCGUCAGCUCGUGUCGUGAAAUGUUGGGUUAAGUCCCGCAACGAGCGCAACCCUUGUCCUUAGUUACCAGCACGUUAUGGUGGGCACUCUAAGGAGACUGCCGGUGACAAACCGGAGGAAGGUGGGGAUGACGUCAAGUCAUCAUGGCCCUUACGGCCUGGGCUACACACGUGCUACAAUGGUCGGUACAAAGGGUUGCCAAGCCGCGAGGUGGAGCUAAUCCCAUAAAACCGAUCGUAGUCCGGAUCGCAGUCUGCAACUCGACUGCGUGAAGUCGGAAUCGCUAGUAAUCGUGAAUCAGAAUGUCACGGUGAAUACGUUCCCGGGCCUU